GGGGUUGUGGCUCAGUGGUAGAGCACUUGCUUAGCAUGUAUGAGGCCCUGGGUUUGAUCCUCAGCACCACA
rnacentral:tRNA from 1 species